UACGGAGGGGGCGAGCGUUGUUCGGAAUUACUGGGCGUAAAGGGCGCGUAGGCGGCCUGGCAAGUCGAAUGUGGAAUCCCAUGGCUCAACCACGGAAUGGCGUUCGAAACUGCCGGGCUCGAGUGCGGGAGAGGAGAGUGGAAUUCCCAGUGUAGCGGUGAAAUGCGUAGAUAUUGGGAGGAACACCGGUGGCGAAGGCGGCUCUCUGGAACGCAACUGACGCUGAGGCGCGAAAGCGUGGGGAGCAAACAGG
rnacentral:rRNA from 1 species